UACGUAGGGACCAAGCGUUGUUCGGAUUUACUGGGCGUAAAGGGCGCGUAGGCGGCGCGGUAAGUCACUUGUGAAAUCUCUGGGCUUAACUCGGAACGGUCAGCUGAUACUGCUUUGCUAGAGUGCAGAAGGGGCAAUCGGAAUUCUUGGUGUAGCGGUGAAAUGCGUAGAUAUCAAGAGGAACGCCUGAGGUGAAGACGGGUUGCUGGGCUGACACUGACGCUGAGGCACGAAAGCUAGGGGAGCAAACGGG
rnacentral:rRNA from 1 species